AGCUUGGAAGAAAUGUGGCCAGGACAUUCUUGGAUUACUACAGACUGAACASCUUGGUGGAGGGACCGCUAGCACCUAUUCCUAAAACUCGGAAAGAAAAAGCGCCGCUUUUUAAGUGCCCUUCGCAGCAGGACCAAGGGAGCAGCCGCGCUGGCACCAAGACGGAGAAGCGGAGCCAGACCAAGCUCAAGGAGCCGACGCUCUCCACRGGAUGCUAGGAGAGGAGCGCGGGGCCGCAGCGAAGGAGCACGUCCAGGGGCUGCAGCUGAUAAUGCUUCUCUUUUUCUCCCAGACAAGUAUUUCUCGGAUAAUGAAUAGGCCAAGGGGAAAGAGGGAGAGGAAAAUUAGCUAGAAAUUUUACUAUUGAUUCUUUUUUAUUUAUAGAUGGUAAAUCAAUUUCAGGCCUUUCUUGUGGCUUGUCGCUGGGAAAAAAAGAGCGACCCAAUGGAUUUACAGAAAUCAUUGCUGCGGCUGAAAAGCCAUUUGUUAAAACAAGGAAGCCUCUGCUUUCUCUGCCAGUCCCCCUCUCUCUCUCUUUCAAGGGGUAAUCCAUGCGAUGAGCAGACGAGGGACUCCCCGCUGCCCUGCUGCUCUGUGCUCGUCUCUCCUUGCCGCGCCGACCUCCGAAGCUGCU